rnacentral:lncRNA from 1 species
AUCGAAUGUUUAGAUACUAAUUAGGAGUAUUAAAUGUAGACUAUUUACAAAACCCAUUACAUAAGACGAAUCUAAACGGCGAGACGAAUCUAUUAAGCUUAAUUAGUCCAUGAUUUGACAAUGUGUUGCUACAGUAAAUAUUUGCUAAUGAUGGAUUAAUUAGGCUUAAUUAGGCUUAAUAGAUUCGUCUAGCCGUUUAGAU